GACCGGAUAUGGAGGAGCCUAGGUGAUUCCUGGUGUAUGCGUAGUCUUAUCUCUGGACCAGAGAGGGUCAGCCGGAGGCUCUAGGUCACACAGCACGGCCUAGGGAAGAUGUGGAGACUGGAAUCCUCACCCCCGGCCCCGUGGCACACACACACAGACCCUUGUCCUGGAUGAGAGAACGCAGACCCCCAGCUGAAUCUCGACCCUCCAAGGACCCUUUUGAAAGCCCCCCAGCAUCACCACUGCACCCAAGCUGGACCACCCCAAGGGGAGCCACAUUCCCCCGGUGCAUCCGGCACUUGGGCCAAGGGGACCUCAGGCUGCCCACCCAGGAUGUGGCGCUGGGGUGGGGGGAGCCAUCCUGACUUUGCAAGAUCCUUCCCAGGGCCGCGUGGCACAUAAACCCCCGCUGGGAGCUGGGACACUGAGGGAUACUGAAGUCCAAGAUGUUCUGCCCCGUCUCCUAGUCCAGUGGGUUCCCACUGGAGCAAAGGCACAGAGAGGGAAGGAGGGAGGGAGAGGGGGGCCAUGGCGGGACUGCCGACCUCAGGGAAAACUCCUCGUGUCCCCAAGGAGAGAAAGAGGAGGCAGAGCGGGGACCGGAGUGGUCACACCAGCCGCCUACUGGCUCCCAUGUCUCCCCCACUGCGGCCGAAGCACCUCCCCAAACGCCCGUGUGAUGGGGUCACUCGCCGCUCAACACACAUCCUCGUGUUGAAAACCCGAAGUCACCUACGCCACAGCCACUUGGGGAGUGUAAAUUGUUCCAUCUUCUUCGGAAGGCUGUUUGGCACCCAGCAAUCCCCCUCUUGCGUCCAUCCUCCAACAGAAAUGCUGUUUGAGUCGGCCCAGAAGCUGUAAAUCACAGCGUUCAGAGCCACUGAAGUGAGUUAUCAUCGACCCAAACUGGAAACCACCAGCUGUCCAUCAGCUACAGGAGGAGAAGUCACGACCUAGUUGUGCAGUGGAAUACUACGCAGCCGUGAAAAAGAAUGGGACUCAACACCAGGCAUCUCACACCCAUAACGCUGAACAAAAGAGUAAAUACCGUGCAAUUGGAAGAACAAAACAGGCCAAGUGACCGACAGUGUCCCAUGCCAUCAGUUUACCCUUAGGAGGGGGGAGGGGCAAAAGGGACUUCUGACGUGGCUGGCCUUGUUUCCUUUCUUAACUUGCCGGCUGAUCACAGGA
rnacentral:lncRNA from 1 species